rnacentral:lncRNA from 1 species
AAUUAAUUGAUGAAGUAUGAUGAUCCAGGUGUCCCUGGGUGAAGAAACAACCUCUACAAAGGCCCUGAGAGAUGGGGUCUCCCUAUGCUUCCCAGGCUGGUCUCGAACUCCUGGACUCAAGCAAUCCUCCUGUCUUGACCUCCCAAAGUGCUGGGAUUACAGGCGUGAGCCGCCUCACCUGGCCUAUAGAAUUUUAUACAAAUGAAAUCAUACUGGUCUCGCUCAUCACCAGGCUGGAGUACAGUGACAUGAUCAUGGCUCACUGCAGCCUCAACCUCCCGGGUUCAGGCUAUCCUCCCACCUCAGCCUCCCAGGACCACAGGCGUGUGCCACCAUGCCCAGCUAAUUUUUUGUAGAGAUGGGGUUAUGCCAUGUUGCCCAGGCUGGUCUCGAGCUGCUGGGCACAAGCAAUCUACCCAUCUCAGUCUCCCAAAGUGCUGGCAUUAUAGUCGUGAGCCACUGUGCCCAGCCAACAGCGUCUUUCAAAGAGCAGAGAGAGGUUAAUUUUGAUGAUGUCCAGUUUGCACCUUUGUUGAAAAUUGACCAUAUAUCUGUGAGUCUGUUUCUAGACUCUUUGUUCUGCUUUAUUAAACUACUUGUCUAUU